rnacentral:rRNA from 1 species
CCUACGGGAGGCAGCAGUGGGGAAUAUUGCACAAUGGGCGCAAGCCUGAUGCAGCAACGCCGCGUGAGCGAAGAAGGUCUUCGGAUCGUAAAGCUCUGUCCUUGAGGAAGAAGGAAGUGACGGUACUCAAGGAGGAAGCCCCGGCUAACUACGUGCCAGCAGCCGCGGUAAUACGUAGGGGGCAAGCGUUAUCCGGAAUUAUUGGGCGUAAAGAGUACGUAGGUGGUUUUGUAAGCGCGGGGUGAAAGGCAGUGGCUUAACCAUUGUAAGCCUUGCGAACUGCAAGACUUGAGUGCAGGAGAGGAAAGCGGAAUUCCUAGUGUAGCGGUGAAAUGCUUAGAUAUUAGGAGGAACACCAGUGGCGAAGGCGGCUUUCUGGACUGUAACUGACACUGAGGUACGAAAGCGUGGGGAGCAAACAGGAUUAGAUACCCGAGU